UACAGAGGGGGCAAGCGUUGUUCGGAAUUACUGGGCGUAAAGGGCGCGUAGGCGGCCUGCUAAGUCGAACGUGAAAUCCCCGGGCUCAACCCGGGAACUGCGUCCGAUACUGGCAGGCUUGAAUCCGGGAGAGGGAUGUGGAAUUCCAGGUGUAGCGGUGAAAUGCGUAGAUAUCUGGAGGAACACCGGUGGCGAAGGCGGCAUCCUGGACCGGUAUUGACGCUGAUGCGCGAAAGCCAGGGGAGCAAACGGGG
rnacentral:rRNA from 1 species